rnacentral:rRNA from 1 species
GCUUCGGCCUGGUUAUUCAUAACCCUUUGUUGUCCGACUCUGUUGCCUCCGGGGCGACCCCGCCUUCGGGCGGGGGCUCCGGGUGGACACUUCAAACUCUUGCGUAACUUUGCAGUCUGAGUAAACUUAAUUAAUAAAUUAAAACUUUUAACAACGGAUCUCUUGGUUCUGGCAUCGAUGAAGAACGCAGCGAAAUGCGAUAAGUAAUGUGAAUUGCAGAAUUCAGUGAAUCAUCGAAUCUUUGAACGCACAUUGCGCCCCCUGGUAUUCCGGGGGGCAUGCCUGUUCGAGCGUCAUUUCACCACUCAAGCCUCGCUUGGUAUUGGGCAACGCGGUCCGCCGCGUGCCUCAAAUCGUCCGGCUGGGUCUUCUGUCCCCUAAGCGUUGUGGAAACUAUUCGCUAAAGGGUGUUCGGGAGGCUACGCCGUAAAACAACCCCAUUUCUAAGGUUGACCUCGGAUCAGGUAGGGAUACCCGCUGAACUUAAGCAUAUCAAUAA